AUGAAUGUCUUAAGCUGGAACUGCCGGGGAGGGGGGAAUACCCCGACAGUUCGUGAACUAGCGACUAUCUGUCAGUCACAUUCCCCCAGUUUGGUGUUUUUGUGUGAAACAAGACAGAGGGCUGAAAAAAUGAAAAAGGUGCGUGGGAGGAUUGGUUUGAAGGGUUUUGCUGGAGUUGAUAGCAAUGGCAUGAGUGGUGGUCUGGCGUUAUUUUGGCAUGAAACUAUGAGGUGGACAUUCUGGACAAAGAGGAGCACUAUAUUGACGCACUCGUCUGUGUUCAGGAGGGGGCUGCUCAAUGGAGGAUUACUUGUAUUUAUGGUGAACCACGAGUAG
rnacentral:rRNA from 1 species